CUUUGAAUCUUGGCAUUGAAUUCAUAUUUCAUUUAUUCCUUUGAUAUGUCGAAGUUACUGCGAGCAACUAAACCUAUAUCUAGAGUUUUGUUUUAUUUAUUAUACCAAGGAUUUAGUUUAAGAAAUGUUUUAAAUUCGGACGAGCAUGGCGAGGGAGAAUUUAAUUAAAUUUAUUUCGUUGAGACUUAAGUUUUCCCUGUUAUUUUACUUUUAUAAGUUCAAGACUGGUUAGUGAGAGUAGUUGUAUAACGAGUUCUUGUUUUGGUUAUAAAUAUAGAUGGGUAAACUAUGCACGUGAAAUACUUUGGCGGUUUAAAAGGUGGGGUCCCGUUAUAUUAUAUAAAGAAAAUUUGUAGGUGUCAUUU
rnacentral:lncRNA from 1 species